rnacentral:lncRNA from 1 species
AGGCGUUCGAGGAUGGCAACACGUGUCGGUGUGGUGUGUCCACGCGGCGGAGUGUGGUUUCGUGUUGAGGUUGGGGCGUGAUGGCACGUGAUGUAGGGGACCCACUUUGGUGCCAGCUGUGUCUGGCCUCUUCUGUCCUCUCAAAUGCGGCACCCGAAAAUGUAACCUAUUUAUCGUAUCGUUUUGGCUCUUCUGUAUAUGUAUCGUUCAAAACAAUAAUCCUAGAAUAUUUUCAUUAAUUUUUUAGAAAAUAGUUUUUGCACUUCUUUUUUUAUUAAAUGCAUUCUAUUUUUUGUUCUUAUUAUGAAUUAUAUUUGAUAAAAAAAGUACAAAAUAAAUUAUCAAAUAUACUCCAUAAUAAGGACAAAAAAAUGAGUGCAUUUGAUAAAAAAAGAGUGCAAAAAUCAUUUAUAAAUUUUUUUUGAAGUUUUUAAAAUUUUAUUUUUAAAUAAAAUAAAUAAUUCUAACAUAAAUUUAUCUAUACUAAAUACUUAUUAAAUGCUUUUUACUCAUUAACUAUUACCCCAAUAUUUUUACUUUACACUCGCAUAAUUUUUGUAUAAACUAUCAAUUAAUGUGAAAUUCAGAACUCAUGAAUUACAAAAUGCAAAAUCAAAUAAUUUAUAAAUGUCUUAUUAGUGAGAGUACUAUCCAAUUUAAUGACCAACUAAUUCGGAGGACAAAUUAUAUUGUUCAUUAAUAGGAAAACCUGAUUAAAAUCAGGUAAACUACCAUAUGGACUAUGCCAACUUAGGAGCGGAUAACAAAUCUUGAAAAGAAACAAAUCCCGAACUUGAAAGCUUGAAAAGAAACAAAUCUCUGAGUCCCGAACCUAGACUAGCGACUGUAAUAGUUAGUUACUAAAAACCUUAAAAGUUUUAUUUAUUCUUUCGUGUAGACGCUUUGAUAAAGAAUGUACAAAUAUGUCAAAGCUUUUUAAAAAGUGUCUUAGUCUACUCUACUUUAUUUAGAUUGGCUCCUCUAAAUGUAAGAUAAAAAUAUCAUCUAUUUCAACAAAUCUAAUUGUUUUUUGAAAAAAUAAAGAAAUUGUUAUUCUAAAGGGGGCAAUAAUGUAAUUUAAAGGGGGAAUAAGCUGAAAAUCGGGUAUCACAUUGCGUGGUUUGUAAUGAGUUUGGUUGAACGUUGAACCGAAUAUCAUGCUUUCCUUGUGAAAAACACAUUAAUUAAACCCCCACCCUAAAAAACAAGGCCGAAUAUUCCUGUGCUUUAUCCUCCCUUUGAGUGCUCCAUAUCUAAAUUAUUAUUAUUAUUAUUAUUAUAAAAACUAUAUAUCAACAAAAAAAUAUGGUAAUUUGUGACUGAAUUUUCUUUGAAAUGCCUCCGGUUAGUUCAAAUAUGGCUCUUUUUUAAGUUGUUUUAUGGGGGAAACAAAGUCGAAUCCAACGUAUGUUUUUUUUUUAUACUCAUAUUCAUUGACAAAUUCGUAAAUCAAUUCUACUGUCUAUUAAUGAGGAGUCCAAUAAAAUCGAAUACAACAUAAAUGCUUAGUUCAAAUAUGGCUCUUUUUUAAGUUGUUUUAUGGGGGAAACAAAGUCGAAUCCAACGUAUGUUUUUUUUUUAUACUCAUAUUCAUUGACAAAUUCGUAAAUCAAUUCUACUGUCUAUUAAUGAGGAGUCCAAUAAAAUCGAAUACAACAUAAAUGCUUAGUUCAAAUAUGGCUCUUUUUUAAGUUGUUUUAUUGAGAAAAAAGUUGAAUCCACCAUAUGUUUUUUUUUCGAUAACUCAAUAUUCGGUUUAAAGAACCUACUAUUUGGAGGACCAAUUUCACCAUUCAGUGGCAAGAGACCCAAUAAACUAAAUUCAACAUAUGUUCACAAGUCACAAACAAAAUAGACAAAAAUACCCAAUAAAAGCUGCUUAACAAUUUUUUUUUGUCACUUUUACUUUUUUACUUUUAUAUGGACUUUUGGAUUGGUUUUCAAGAAAUUUAAACUAAAAACAACCUAAUAAAAGUUGAUUUUUUUCGUUUUUAGUGAUUUUUUUAAAUUUGAUAAAAAAAAUUAAAUUUUGGAUUAUUGUCUUCAAAAGAAACAAAAAUAUAUAAAAUUUUGAUUAAAUAGUAAAAAAAUUCAUUAAAAAAGAACAAACUCAAAAAUCAAAAUAGCUAAAAAUCCUCUAAAAAAAAUCAUUACCCCAAAAUGCUAGUAACAAUGCAUUGAUUAUGUAUAUUUAUACAUAUUGAGAUUUAUAAUUUUUGUGGAUUCUAUCACAUAUGAGUAUGAAUUGUACAAAAUGAAUAAUAGAAAGUGUUUAAUCGGUAGGUUUUGGGAAAUCUCUAAGUCUGGUGAUAGCAUAAUGUCAUCUGUUUAUGUAUAUAAAUAUAUAAAGAGAUGAUAGUAGUGGAAUUGGCCAUUGUAAAUUUUUCUUCAAAUUGAAUAAAAUUAUUGUCCUUUGAUAUAUAAGAGAGAUAGCUAGAUAGAGGAGAGGAGAGAGAGAUGAUGUAGUGGAAUGGCCCGAUUGUAAAUUUUUCAUCAAAUUGAAUAAAAUCAAACCCGUCAAAGAGAGAGAAAGCUGACGUGUUUUUUUCUUUAGGUAUGGGUGGGUGGGUGCGUGAGAGAGAGAGGAGAGAGAGUU